CAAUUUCGUGGCCAGGUGUGGCCCCCUCGUUAUUUCAUGGCAAACUGCAUACUGCUUUUGAACAUUGGGGACAGGAGCACACACGUAUGCAUUCUUCAUGCAAGUUUCAGGAGCUAAGGUGAUUUCAAACCUCGAGUCAAAAACAAAAAGGACAAACUUCAUUUGGAAAAAUACACCUUCACACCAGAUUUGACUGGUACAUCUCAAAGGCUAGUGUCAUGUCCCAUCUACACUACGGUGCAUUGUACUACACCUGCACUUUCUUGUAGAGGUACACAGAACCAGAUAUGUCACCAC